GCCGGCAGCUAGCUCUCUGCAACUCUCACAUGGUCGCCCACUGAAGCUAAGCAGGGCUGCGCCCGGUCAGUAUCUGGAUGGGAGACCACAUGGGAAAGCUAGGUUGCUGCUGGAU
rnacentral:rRNA from 1 species